rfam:Human echovirus 11 partial gene for polyprotein, isolate HTN-1337, genomic RNA
GUGGGUUGUACCCAUCCACAGGGCCCACUGGGCGCCAGCACUCUGGUAUUGCGGUACCUUAGUGCGCCUGUUUUAUAU